ACCGCUAACGGUAAACUUAGUGGAAGAAAUUCAGUUAAUUUCUUAAUCAUCAAUUUCAAUCGAGAAAAAUUGAUGUUCAUUUUUAAAUUUCCGAGGUCGAUUGUCAUAUGUCUACUUUUUACUCUUUAAAAACUGUUGUACGAUGUUUACUUUUUAAUUAUGUAUUUCAUUUCAGAUUUUAAUCUAAUAUUUUUUUUCAGGUGAAACUAAUGAAUAUUUUAGACAUUUUUCAGUUUAUCGAUGUCGUUAUCUUGUGUUCUCUGAUCUUAUUCGUAUGGAUGAAUAGCUUUUUGUAUGCUUAAGCACAGAUGAAGAGAGCAGGAAAUAUUUAGAAAAUACCCCAUGCUCAUCUUUUAAUAUAUCAGUGCCAUUGGGGCUUACACUCUUCUUAACAAACUGGAUGUGGAGGGUAUGAUUGUAUUUCAACAUCAAAUACUGUUGAAUGUUUUGAUCCUGAAAAAUAUGGAAUCUGAAGAAAAAUUUCUGAGAACUCCAGUAAGUACCCGUCUGACGUACAUGAAUGAAAUCAGUGUAGAGUAACUGAAUAUUGUCGGUAAGUUUUAAUUCACUUUAAAAGAUUUCUUACUUGAGGUUCAGAAAAUGGUUACGUACUUAGCAAUGUCAGUAAGUAAACUCUCACUUGUAAGGUAAGACACUUAUUUAUCCUUAAGUUCUGCA